rnacentral:rRNA from 1 species
CACGUAGGCGGCUCAGCCAGUGCGGAGUGAAAGCCCACGGCUCACCCGUGGAAUUGCUUCGCAUACUACUGAGCUCGAGUGCAGGAGAGGAGAGCGGAACUCUUGGUGGAGCGGUGAAAUGCGUAGAUAUCGAGAGGAACACCAAAGGCGAAGGCAGCUCUCUGGCCUGUGUCUGACGCUGAGGUGCGAAAGCCAGGGUAGCGAACG